AUCCAGCCGACGAAUCCCUGAUAGGACAAAACGAGCGUCCUGGAU
rfam:Schistosoma haematobium scaffold546_7, whole genome shotgun sequence.